AGCGCUGAUCUUAUUCUCUUGUAAUCCCCUUAAAUUGGCACGAGCUUUUUAAUUAUAUUAUACCUCAUUUCAAUAGAUUUGUAAAUAAUCUGUUAGGAAAAAAGAAAAAAAAAAGGGAAAAAAUCCCCACUUUAUGAUUACUGCUUAUCUUCCAACCUAAAUACAAAGGAAAUGGGACUCGUAUUCAAUCUACAAAACAACUUAGAGCUGAGCCAGGGCAAGUAUGAAGGAGAGUGAUAAGCAGCAUCUGCCCAAGCAGUGGCUGGGAGUGCCAGUGAGGCUUGCAAUGAGGCCUGCAGUGAGGCCUGCAAUGAGACCAUGCAAUGAGUCCAUGCAAUGAGACUUGCAAUGAGUCCUGUAGUGAUCCAUGCAACGAUCCCUGCAAUGAGCUGUGCAAUGAUCCAUGCAGUGAGUCCUGCAGUGGUCCAUGCAGUGAUCCCUGCAAUGAGCCCUGCAAUGAUCCAUGCAGUGAGUCCCGCAGUGGUCCAUGCAGUGAUCCAUGCAAUGAGCCCUGCAAUGAGCCCUGCAAUGAUCCAUGCAGUGAGUCCCGCAGUGAUCCAUGCAAUGAGCCCUGCAAUGAGUCCUGCAGCGAUCCAGGCAAUGAGCCUUGCAAUGAGCCCUGCUCCACGAGUGCCCUUUGCUGCUCUUCCCCGGGCUGCCUCAUGCUGGGAAAGCUUCCAUGUGGCUGAGAGGUGAGGUAGCCCCACGAGUCAGACUCGUUUGAGGGGGUGAGGGCACAGCAGCCAGGACGAGUACUGGCUUGUGCAGGACGGAUGGGUCAGGGAGGGCAAUUUACAGCCCAGAAGGAGCUGCUGCCAAUGGGGCUGCCAUGCCAGGAGGAUGGCGAGGUGACACAGCAUCCCCCGUCCAGGAUAAGGGCUGCGCACUGAGCUCCAUCACUGCACAAUCUGCCCCAAGUCAGGACGAUUCCUGAAGAGCUGCAGACACAACCGCUGCCCCAUCUGGUACAGAUAACUUCUUGGCUUUGCUGCCUUGUUUUGUUAUGACUUACUGUGGAAACAUGAAGCCCCAUUCGAACGAAAAUGAAUCGUAAUUCUUUUUUAUGCCUUUUCCCCUUGACUGAAAUCCUGUUAAAUCGUUCCUCUGCACCCACAGGAAUACACUUUUCUUCUUCUCUUUCUCCUCCAUCUCCUUCUCCUUCUUCUUCCUCUCUCCAAUUUCUCGCUCCUAAAAUAGCAAAUUCCAGCUGACUGCUUUCAAGGCAACGAGGCGCCCGCAGGAUUGUGGGAGCGUUGCUCAAAUCAGCAGAGAAACUAACGAAGCUGCCAGGAAACAAUAUUAAAAAAGACGGGGGGUGGAUCCCAUCUGCCAUAAAUCAAAGCGCUGCGGUCUGAGCGGAGCUGAGCCCUCACUGCUGCUCUGCUCCACCCCAACGCUGCACCUCUCCAACACCUGAGCACAGGGCAGGGCUGGGGCAGAGCUCGCCGCUCCGGUUUGCAGUGUGAGAAGGGACUGAGCAAACCCUGGAACACAGCCUGGGCUGCCCUUGAGCUGUGCCAAAGGCAGCGCCAGGAGUCCGCUCCCAUGGGAUGCUGUGGGCAGAUGGGAGCACAGUGCGCAACCACUUUGGGACCGACUUUGUCCCUGGCCGUGAGGGACAGUUGCUGGCUUGCUGGCUUGCUUUCUGUUCCCCCCAACCCAUUUCUCACGUUGACACGGGGUUAGGGACCCACUUGUUGCUCCCUCUUGCAGUGCUGGAGCAGCCUUGCUCGCUGCACACCUGGAUGAGAUGCAGCCACGCAGCUCCAUGCAUGGGGCAAGUCCUGAUGUGCUGCCAGUCAGUGUGUGCAUUCCUGAGCGCUGCGUCAGCCUGAGGCACGGCCAGCAGGCAGGAAAGCUGCCCCGGGUGGGAUGAGAUGAUCAACCCAGGGAGCAGGAGAGGAGGGAUGUGGGAAUGUAACCACGCCUGCAGCACGGCUCUGGCCACAGUGGAAGAAAUCAGUGCUGGAGAAAUCUUCAGGGAUUCAGAGAUCUAGCACAGCUACUCAGUAUUUUUCUUUAGAGCAUCCCUCCCCACCAUCCAGCAUGAAAGAGGAGGCCAGGAGGUCUCAAGGGCCUGAUCCCAAGGUCUGCCCCAUGGCACGGUAAUUCGCAGCCCUUUGCCUGUGCUGACCUCAGCUUGCUGUGUUUGGGGCAGUUUUGCUGCCUGAAUGUCAGGUUGGGCACAGAUCCCUGCCAGGCCCAGCACUGCAGGAGCCGGAGUGGCAGCACUGUGCGUGUUGCAGAAGCUCAGCUCCCCAUAUCCUGCAUUUAUUUGCCUUUCCACCCAGAAAACACAUGCAGACGGGCAUGUACGAACCUUUAUGGAGGGGGUUGUUUGCAGAGCCAAAGCCACUUCACUGAGCACCGGGCUGAGUAAGGGGAGGCUGCUCUGCUGCUGCCAGGCAGGUUGGCCGGCCCUGAGACUGUUGGAGCUGGUGCAGAUCUGCAGGCGCUGUGCCUCAGUUUCCUCUCCCAACUCUGAGGCAGCUCUGGCCGUGGUCCCACAGCUCAGUUCCCUGUGUCGGAGGGUGGGGAAUGUGGCUGGGGAAUGGUGUGAUCCAGGCCGGGAGAAAGCAGAGUCUGCCCUCCCAGCUCCUGCCCUGAAUGAGGUCGAGCAGAGCUGCACCCCCCCGCUGCCGACUGCUGCUCGGAGCUCCGGGCUCUCCCCAUGCUGAGCUCUCAGAGGCACCGACGGUCCCAGGCGCUCAACCCGAGCACCUCUUGUCC
ensembl:lncRNA